GGCUCGGGUGCGGGCGCGGCGGGGCUGCGGCUUCAGUUUCCUGAAAACAAGCUGCGGGAGGUACUGGCUGUUGUCCGAGAUGACCCGCUGCCCUGCUGGCCUGCAGCUGGUGUGAGGGACGGGAAACAGCUGCUUGGAGACUGGGGAGGGCUCCCCCACCUGGCCUUGGGAGACAGGGUCUGGGUCUUGCUCAGGCUGGUCUCGAACUCC